rnacentral:lncRNA from 1 species
GUUGCAACAGCAUGUGUGGAUAUUGCAAAAUGAUUAAAAGUUAUGCCAGCUCUCAAAAGACUAGCUCUGGGCAAUUAGCAAUGCUUACUGUAAGCAGAAAACAAAUUACAAUUUGGCAAAUUACUUUAUGGAAGUUUCUUUACUUCAUGUCCUUUAUAAAAGUUUGUGUUGCCACCUUGUGGUUAUAGCUUGCACCUUACAGAGAUAUAAAACAUUUGGUAGCAGUUAUUACAACACUUCCUUUGACCGUUUGACUCUUGUUGGUGGCCUCUCAUCACCUUCAUAACAGUGGCGGUUCUAGACCAUUUCAACUGGGGGGCCAAGCUGGGGCCAGUUGUACUGUUAGAGGAGCCAGUUACAUUAGACGUUAUUGUUGUCAUAUUGUUUUCUUCACUGCAUUGCAGGCAUUAGCAGGCAAAAGACCAUGUUCAUAAUCAUUAGUGUUCCGCGUUGCCGCUGUCUAAUAACGGAUGUAAAAAAAGAACGAUAGCAAAAAUGUGUUAUGUCAAAAUGAUUUCAUACUCCACAUUUAGUUCAUAAGUGGGUUGGUCGCGCCCACUAACUCCGGCUCCAUGGGAACCGGGACUUUUGGACGAAGAACUCGGUUGAACCGCGAGGAGGAGGAAGAUUUGUGACAGCGCACAAGGAAGGACACGCCUGCUCGUUACAUCGACAGUUUGUGUGGGUAGACCGUGCGUGUUGUUCUGACGGAGAAUUUAUAAUACUCACCUCUACUCAAUGAACCUACCUUUCGCUUGUUAUUUUGUCCCCGACGGUUGUGGUUUUCUGCGUCAUAGCAACAGAGAUGUAAAUCAAGUUAGCCUCCACCUCUUCAUUUGAUAUGCAGCUACUGACAUAACCAGGAGCGCUGAAGUGACAGAGUGCAGCGGAAGAUGGACAUCCGGAGUGGCAUACAAAAGGCAGUGGAGCCCCUCCCUGCCUCUCUCCCCUCUUCCCCUCAACAGUCGGGUGCCCAUCAGCAGAGCGAGCCGGAGGACAGCCAGGCAGAACGGAGUGCCAGGCCCACCGCUGACAACCACAGCAACGACACCCAGCCAGCCGCCGGCCACCGAGACGACAAAAAACUUCCUCACCCACUGAGCACCGAUCGAAACCGGACGUCUAUGGACGUUGAAAAGUUGUCGAAAUUUCCUCCCAGGCCUUGAUGUUAACAUCCACAGACGGACCAGCCUGGACCAAAUCUGAACCUAUCAUGGAAGAAUGUUUCACGAGUUUGGAUAGUGCAGUACAGAGAGUAGAGCACAGUAGAGUACAGUCCAAUACAAUACAGUGGUGCAGUACAAUAUACUACAGUACAGUACAAUACAAUACAGUACAGUACAGUACAGUACAGUACAGUACAGUACAGUACAGUACAAUACAAUACAGUAGAGUAAAGGAAAGUAUAGUAGAGUACAGAAUUCAUUAGUUGCACCUCCGUCACUCGGUCACAUCAUGCCAUUGUUAUGAACGUUCUCAAGCCGCCCUCUAUCAGCGGCGCCAUACUGGUGCCCAAAAGUCGUGAUGAACCCAGUCAUUCUGGACGGAGGCUAACUACUGUUUAGUCUAAACUACACUAUAGUGCCUGGAAAUACGAUUACAUUGCCAAAGUAGUCAAAUGUUUAGUAGGAAAGAACUUUGGCAGCAUUAUCAUGUCGUCAAAGUUUCUUUAGACAGAUAGCAAUGUUCUCAUUAGCUACCAAAGUUCGUUAAAAAUACUUAGCAAUGCUAACGGUAGCUAGCAAAAAUCUGGUGGCCUCCCCUCAACCUUAGCAAUCUACUAAUUAUUUGCCUCCUUUUGAAUGUCAUUAUAUUUCCAAGCCACUGUAAUGCACUUAUGAUGAAAUCUUCAUCAGCGCUCACUGAUGAUGCAUUGAGUAGAAUUCUGUCGGGCAACAGUCCAAAAAUAACUUUUGAAACAAUAUUGUUACGAAACAUGCAACCCAUGAAUUUUGUACUGUAUUCUACUAUACUGCUAUAAUCUACUUUACUGUACUCUACUGUACUCUACUGAACUUUACUCUACUCUACCCUACUCUACUCUGCUGUGCUUUUCUGUGCUGUAUUGUACUGCACUGUACUUUACUGUGCUCUGCUGUGCUGCACUGUGCUGUAUUGUACUGCACUGUACUUUACUGUGCUCUGCUGUGCUGCGCUGUGAUGUCCAAACUUCUGAAACCUGAGGAGAAUAACAUUCAUAUCCAUAAUUAUGCAUUUCUGUGUAGUACAGAUCAGGGACCCAUGAUGUAAUUCUGUUACCAUAAUUCCGUUACCGCGUGUAAAUCCACUUCACUUACUGUAGUUCAGUAACCAAAAGAGAUUUUUUCAAAGCUGACACCCCAUUGUUUCUGCAGACAUCUUUGAAUCUUCAUUCAGAGGAGAUAUUUAUGCAUUUUUGGAAAACUUGGAGGCAUAAAAACCUGAAGGAGAUUUCACCGUAAUACCUUUACCAAAGUUUGCAUCUGCACAGUUCUUUAACAAAAUUAGUUUUUGUACAUAUUUCAGUGGAAAUUCUUAAAAGUUGUCAUUUUGUAUAGAGUUGUAUGGUUUGUUCAACAUUGAAAUCAAUGUUUUAUUUUUGGCAUACAUUUUGAAAUGAAAAAUAAUUGAGUUAAUGCGUAAUUACAUUACAGUGGAAUUGUCCAUACAUACCAACUGAGCUACAGAGUUACUGAGCUUGUGUGUCUAGGGCCUGUGUGUACAUGUACUGUUUCCCAAUCAUGGCCCUGGGGAGCCAAAGCGGGGCACAUUUUAGUUUUUGCCCUAGCAUUAACACGUCUGAUUCAACCAAAAGCUUGAUGAGUUGAUUAGUUCAGCCAAGUGUGUUAGUUAUAUGGCAAAAACUAAAAAUGUGCACACCUUUGUGUACCCAGGAUUGGGAAACACUGUGGGAGUAAAUACGCUCAGCAUAUGGCCUUCAUCAACAUGCAGAAUGACAGCAGCCUCCACUCCCCCUCCCUCCGUCUAUGCCAUGUCAAUCACCGGGCCUGGCAGGAACCUCAACCCUCCUCCAUCAAUCAUCACAGAGAGACAGUAGGCCUUGGCUGAUAGGAGGGCAGGCCUAUGGAGACCACCAGAGUAAACACAACACAGCACAGAGAAAAACACACUACUUUAUAGCCUGCUGUUGCUAAUUUGGAUGUAUGUCUUGCCAUGGAAAGUCAUUGAUUUGAAGCUCAAAGUCAUGUGAAGUCUGGUGUCACGGUGAAGAAAGAAAACACUCCAGAUGAAGAUACAGUUCUCUGAUUACUUAUCCUUGGCUUUGGCCAUAUAGAUGCAGUAUUGUAUUUAUGGAGUGUAAUAUUAUAGACUCUUCUC